rnacentral:misc_RNA from 1 species
CAUCGGCUUUCGAUUAAAUUAAAAAUCAUUAAAAUCGGUACACCUAAUAAAAAGUUAUUGCGGAUUUUCAAGAAUUUCCCUCGAUUUCUCUAAGAUCCCAUCAUCAGAUCCUGGUUUCCUUAUCAUGGUACUAAACUUGGGAUAUCUCCUUUCCAACAAAAAAAGAAUUAUCAAAAUCGGUACAUCCAGUAGAAAGUUAUGCGGUAUAAUAC